GGAAGCGGAAGGAGGGCUGGUGCCUCUCUUUGACUUCAAAUCAAUAGGCGCAAUAAUUUUGCGCGGUGGGUUCGAUUCCCAUACGCUUCCGCCA
rnacentral:tRNA from 1 species